rnacentral:rRNA from 1 species
UACGUAGGGUGCGAGCGUUGUUCGGAUUCAUUGGGCGUAAAGGGUGCGUAGGUGGCGCUGUAAGUCGGGUGUGAAAUUUCGGAGCUUAACUCCGAAACUGCAUUCGAUACUGCGGUGCUUGAGGACUGGAGAGGAGACUGGAAUUCAUGGUGUAGCAGUGAAAUGCGUAGAGAUCAUGAGGAAGACCAGUGGCGAAGGCGGGUCUCUGGACAGUUCCUGACACUGAGGCACGAAGGCCAGGGGAGCAAACGGG